UAUAGACCCGAAACCCGGUGAUCUAGCCAUGGGCAGGUUGAAGGUUGGGUAACACUAACUGGAGGACCGAACCGACUAAUGUUGAAAAAUUAGCGGAUGACCUGUGGCUGGGGGUGAAAGGCCAAUCAAACCGGGAGAUAGCUGGUUCUCCCCGAAAGCUAUUUAGGUAGCGCCUCGUGAAUUCAUCUCCGGGGGUAGAGCACUGUUUCGGCUAGGGGGCCAUCCCGGCUUACCAACCCGAUGCAAACUGCGAAUACCGGAGAAUGUUAUCACGGGAGACACACGGCGGGUGCUAACGUCCGUCGUGAAGAGGGAAACAACCCAGACCGCCAGCUAAGGUCCCAAAGUCAUGGUUAAGUGGGAAACGAUGUGGGAAGGCCCAGACAGCCAGGAUGUUGGCUUAGAAGCAGCCAUCAUUUAAAGAAAGCGUAAUAGCUCACUGGUCGAGUCGGCCUGCGCGGAAGAUGUAACGGGGCUAAACCAUGCACCGAAGCUGCGGCAGCGAACGUAUCACCCAAGACAACUUUACGGAGUUGACGAUUGACGGAGCGAAGCGACGUCAAAGCGUUCAUUAAAGUCGAGUUGGCUUAGGGAUACGUUCGUUGGGUAGGGGAGCGUUCUGUAAGCCUGUGAAGGUGUGUCGUGAGGCAUGCUGGAGGUAUCAGAAGUGCGAAUGCUGACAUAAGUAACGAUAAAGCGGGUGAAAAGCCCGCUCGCCGGAAGACCAAGGGUUCCUGUCCAACGUUAAUCGGGGCAGGGUGAGUCGACCCCUAAGGCGAGGCCGAAAGGCGUAGUCGAUGGGAAACGGGUUAAUAUUCCCGUACUUGGUGUUACUGCGAAGGGGGGACGGAGAAGGCUAUGUUGGCCGGGCGACGGUUGUCCCGGUUUAAGCGUGUAGGUGUGUGUUCCAGGUAAAUCCGGUUCACUUUAACACUGAGGCGUGACGACGAGGCACUACGGUGCUGAAGCAACAAAUGCCCUGCUUCCAGGAAAAGCCUCUAAGCAUCAGGUAACACGAAAUCGUACCCCAAACCGACACAGGU
rnacentral:rRNA from 1 species